rnacentral:rRNA from 1 species
GACGAACGCUGGCGGCGUGCUUACACAUGCAAGUCGAACGGAAAGGCCCUGCUUUUGUGGGGUGCUCGAGUGGCGAACGGGUGAGUAACACGUGAGUAACCUGCCCUUGACUUUGGGAUAACUUCAGGAAACUGGGGCUAAUACCGGAUAGGAGCUCCUGCUGCAUGGUGGGGGUUGGAAAGUUUCGGCGGUUGGGGAUGGACUCGCGGCUUAUCAGCUUGUUGGUGGGGUAGUGGCUUACCAAGGCUUUGACGGGUAGCCGGCCUGAGAGGGUGACCGGCCACAUUGGGACUGAGAUACGGCCCAGACUCCUACGGGAGGCAGCAGUGGGGAAUAUUGCACAAUGGGCGGAAGCCUGAUGCAGCAACGCCGCGUGCGGGAUGACGGCCUUCGGGUUGUAAACCGCUUUCGCCUGUGACGAAGCGUGAGUGACGGUAAUGGGUAAAGAAGCACCGGCUAACUACGUGCCAGCAGCCGCGGUGAUACGUAGGGUGCGAGCGUUGUCCGGAUUUAUUGGGCGUAAAGGGCUCGUAGGUGGUUGAUCGCGUCGGAAGUGUAAUCUUGGGGCUUAACCCUGAGCGUGCUUUCGAUACGGGUUGACUUGAGGAAGGUAGGGGAGAAUGGAAUUCCUGGUGGAGCGGUGGAAUGCGCAGAUAUCAGGAGGAACACCAGUGGCGAAGGCGGUUCUCUGGGCCUUUCCUGACGCUGAGGAGCGAAAGCGUGGGGAGCGAACAGGCUUAGAUACCCUGGUAGUCCACGCUGUAAACGGUGGGUACUAGGUGUGGGGUCCAUUCCACGGGUUCCGUGCCGUAGCUAACGCUUUAAGUACCCCGCCUGGGGAGUACGGCCGCAGGGCUAAAACUCAAAGGAAUUGACGGGGCCCCGCACAAGCGGCGGAGCAUGCGGAUUAAUUCGAUGCAACGCGUAGAACCUUACCUGGGUUUGACAUGGAUCGGGAGUGCUCAGAGAUGGGUGUGCCUCUUUUGGGGUCGGUUCACAGGUGGUGCAUGCCUGUCGUCAGCUCGUGUCGUGAGAUGUUGGGUUAAGUCCCGCAACGAGCGCAACCCUUGUUCACUGUUGCCAGCACGUUAUGGUGGGGACUCAGUGGAGACCGCCGGGGUCAACUCGGAGGAAGGUGGGGAUGACGUCAAGUCAUCAUGCCCCUUAUGUCCAGGGCUUCACGCAUGCUACAAUGGCUGGUACAGAGAGUGGCGAGCCUGUGAGGGUGAGCGAAUCUCGGAAAGCCGGUCUCAGUUCGGAUUGGGGUCUGCAACUCGACCUCAUGAAGUCGGAGUCGCUAGUAAUCGCAGAUCAGCAACGCUGCGGUGAAUACGUUCCCGGGGCU